CACCGAACGAAAGCAACUGUUUACAACUCGACAAACAUCUUCAACGCAACAAUCGACGUCAGCAACGUCUUCUGCGACUAAGUCACCAGCAACGACAUCAUCCACUAUCAGGACUCCAUCAACGUCUAGUGCUACUAAGUCACCAUCCACGACAUCAUCCACUAUCAGGACUCCAUCUACAACUACGUCUACCGCUACUAAGUCAGCAACGUCGACCACAACGUCACCGGCUGCUAGGGCGCCAGCCUCUACCACAACGACAACUGCUGCCAAGAUGACAUCUUCGACCACAACGUCAUCUACCACUAAGACAACAUCCAAGACCACGUCCGCUGCUACUAAGGCACCCACCAAGACCACAACAAAGCCCAGCAAGACGGUCGUAUGUUCAGAAGGAGUUGAGUUUAUGAUCGACGAAACCGACUGCACUAAGUACUACCAAUGUUCCAACGGCAAGCCCGUGUCCAUGUCUUGCUCGUCGCCUCUCGUGUGGAAUGACCAAAUCAAUAGCUGCGACUACAUCUCCGAUGUCCCGAGAUGCCGCUGAAGCCGGGAGCUGGAGAGAAGAGGGCACGCGUCAAAAGACCUGUGUAUUUUAUUUGCGGUUGUUGCGCUACAAACGCUGAACUAAAUACGCACGCCUCUGGCAAGGUUGGGUGACAUAUCAGUGUUAGUGUUGGUGUGUUAUUUCAUUUGCGCUUUAAUUCCAAAAAUCGGCGUGUGCACAUUUUUGACCGUACGAAAGGAAAAGAAACUUGUAAUUUUGCCUCCGUUUUAACGUUCAACGCGUAAAAGCCUGGAUGCUUAAUGUUUCACCUUUGUUGUGUAAAUGUAUCUUGUUCGGCGCCAAAUAAAUCCUGUUAAAAUAU